AUGCAAUUGAUGAGUCCCAAAUAGGACGAAACUCUUGUCCUGGAU
rfam:Schistosoma rodhaini strain Burundi genome assembly, scaffold: SROB_scaffold0006970